GACGAACGCUGGCGGCGUGCUUAACACAUGCAAGUCGAACGAUGAAGCGGUGCUUGCACCGUGGAUUAGUGGCGAACGGGUGAGUAAUACGUGAGUGACCUACCUUUGACUCUGGGAUAAGCCUGGGAAACUGGGUCUAAUACCGGAUACGACAAAUCCUGCAUGGGGGGGUUGGUGGAAGCGGUUAGGAGUGGGUUUAGAUGGGCUCACGGCCUAUCAGCUUGUUGGUGAGGUAAUGGCUUACCAAGGCGACGACGGGUAGCCGGCCUGAGAGGGUGACCGGCCACACUGGGACUGAGACACGGCCCAGACUCCUACGGGAGGCAGCAGUGGGGAAUAUUGCACAAUGGGCGCAAGCCUGAUGCAGCGACGCCGCGUGAGGGAUGACGGCCUUCGGGUUGUAAACCUCUGUUAGCAUCGAAGAAGCGAAAGUGACGGUAGGUGCAGAGAAAGCGCCGGCUAACUACGUG
rnacentral:rRNA from 1 species